UGGAAAGCUUUGUAUCACAUUACCCAAAAGAAGUUUGGGCACAAGAAGGUGGAGAUCCAUGCUUACCAGCUCCAUGGUCAUGGGUUCAAUGUAAUUCAGAUCCGCAACCACAAAUUGUUUCAAUACUAUCAGGGAGAAAUUUGACGGGGAAUAUACCUGCAGAGCUUGCUAGUUUAACUGGCCUAGUCGAAUUAUGGCUUGAUGGAAACGUGCUUAGUGGCCAU